rnacentral:rRNA from 1 species
AUACGGAGGGAGCGAGCGUUAAUCGGAAUUACUGGGCGUAAAGCGCGCGUAGGCGGCUUUGUAAGUCGGAUGUGAAAGCCCUGGGCUUAACCUGGGAAUGGCAUUCGAUACUGCAGAGCUAGAGUAUGGUAGAGGGAAGUGGAAUUUCCGGUGUAGCGGUGAAAUGCGUAGAUAUCGGAAGGAACACCAGUGGCGAAGGCGACUUCCUGGGCCAAUACUGACGCUGAGGUGCGAAAGCGUGGGGAGCAAACAGGAUUAGAAACCCCAGUAGUCC